rnacentral:rRNA from 1 species
GAGAACGCUGGCGGCGUGGAUUAGGCAUGCAAGUCGAACGGUAGGAUACCUUCGGGUAUCUGAGAGUGGCGAACGGGUGAGUAACACGUAGGUGAUCUACCCUCAAGAUUGGGACAACCCAGGGAAACUUGGGCUAAUACCGGAUGAAAGCAGCAGUGAUGUUGUUUGAAAGGUGGCGUAAGCUGCCGUUUGGGGAUGAGCCUGCGCUCUAUUAGUUAGUUGGCGGGGUAAAGGCCCACCAAGGCGAUGAUAGAUAGGCGGCCUUAACGGGUGGUCGCCCACACUGGGAUUGAGAUACGGCCCAGACUCCUACGGGAGGCAGCAGUCGAGAAUAGUCUACAAUGGCCGAAAGGCUGAUAGUGCGACGCCGCGUGAACGAAGAAGCCCUUCGGGGUGUAAAGUUCUUUUAUAUGUGAGCAGUGCUUUCUAUGUGAACAGCAUGGGGAGAGAGAUAUUAGCAUAUGAAUAAGCAACGGCUAACUCCGUG